rnacentral:rRNA from 1 species
GAUGAACGCUAGUGGCAGGCCUAACACAUGCAAGUCGAGGGGUAGAACACUUCGGUGUUUGAGACCGGCGCACGGGUGCGUAACGCGUAUGCAAUCUACCUUAUACAGGGGAAUAGCCCAGAGAAAUUUGGAUUAAUGCCCCAUAGUAUUAUUGAAUGGCAUCAUUUAAUAAUUAAAGUUCCAACGGUAUAAGAUGAGCAUGCGUCCCAUUAGUUAGUUGGUAAGGUAACGGCUUACCAAGACGAUGAUGGGUAGGGGUCCUGAGAGGGGGAACCCCCACACUGGUACUGAGACACGGACCAGACUCCUACGGGAGGCAGCAGUGAGGAAUAUUGGUCAAUGGGCGCAAGACUGAACCAGCCAUGCCGCGUGCAAGAAGACGGUCCUAUGGAUUGUAAACUGCUUUUAUACAGGAAGAAACCCUCCCACGUGUGGGAGCUUGACGGUACUGUAGGAAUAAGGAUCGGCUAACUCCGUGCCAGCAGCCGCCGUAAGAC